rnacentral:tRNA from 2 species
GCCGGAGUAGCUCAGGUGGUUAGAGCGUCGGAAUCAUAAUCCGCAGGUCGGGGGUUCAAGUCCCUCCUCCGGUA